AUUGAACGCUGGCGGCAGGCCUAACACAUGCAAGUCGAACGAGUGGCGGACGGGUGAGUAAUGUCUGGGAAACUGCCUGAUGGAGGGGGAUCACUACUGGAAACGGUAGCUAAUACCGCAUACCAUCAGAUGUGCCCAGAUGGGAUUAAUUAGUUGGUGGGGUAACGGCUCACCAAGGCGACGAUCCCUAGCUGGUCUGAGAGGAUGACCAGUCACACGGGAACUGAGACACGGUCCAGACUCCUAGGUGAGGCAGCAGUGGGUAAUAUUGCACAAUGGGCGCAAGCCUGAUGCAGCCAUGCCGCGUGUAUAAAGAAGGCCUUCGGGUUGUAAAGUACUUUCAGCGGGGAGGCGUUACCCGCAGAAGAAGCACCGGCUAACUCCGUGCCAGCCGCCGCGGUAAUUC
rnacentral:rRNA from 1 species